rnacentral:lncRNA from 1 species
AUGGCGAAAUCGUCUAAAUCAGUGCUGUACCAAAAUCUUGCUGGAGAAUCAUUAGUAAUAGACACCAAAUCAUCUUCCUAUAGAGAUGUUAUUCUUCAGAAAGUAAAACUGAAAUAUACUGAAGCAGUUCCAUCUUUUUCAAAGAGAAUUGAGCAGAGAUUUGCCGUUGACAAAUUGGUAUCUGGACAGUGUCGAAUAUGUGGAUUGAAAGAAAAGUCAUGCUGCAAAAUUUUCGAAACCGAUGAAACCCUGAGCAAGCUUGUGAAUACUUACAUGCCAAUCACGGUCCAUAAAUAUGACGUGUUACCGCUAAAUGUUUGUCUCGAGUGUUUGGGAACCCUGCAAACCAUUGAUGAUCUUGCAUAUAGAUGUUAUCUCACGGAAGCGUGCUUAUUGCAACACUACAAAGAUUAUAAAGACACUUCAAUAUUCCUGGACCCAAUUCAGGAGGAAGAAGAAAAACCGUACACACCAUUGCAUUUGCGGUUGCCAAGAAGUAGGGAAACUCCUCACCCAGCCGCAACUGUUGGGUUUCCUGCAAGGAGGAAAGGUAGCUCCAUACAUAGUCGGUUUUAUACUGAAAGUGAUAAGAUACAAGAAACCUUGAACCAGAGUAAAGCUGAAGCCCAAAUCUUGCUAAACCAACAGAAUGAUGAAGGAGAUUCAUCUCCCACUGAAGGUAAAGACAGUUGCUCCUAGUUAAUGCAAAGAAUCUUGCACCCAGCCUUUGGCCAUGCAGCUCUUAAUGACUUUGAUAUGAAAUCUUCAUCAGUAGAUUCUGUAAAUCACACCAAAUGAACUCAUUAAAAAUUUGUCUGCUUUUCGCGUAACUACUUUUGAGUUGUAAUCUCAUAUCAGCCUCUGUAGGGUAAACGCUCAAGAGUCAGAGAGUUUUGUCGGUGCAAAAGCGAGCACAUCUAGUGGAGGAAAUUUUGUAUCAGUAUUUAUUUUUAUAACAGGAUUUUUUUUUUAAACAGGAACGGGGCAACAAAGCAGGGUGUCUAGCAACCGGGAAAACCAGGAAACGUCGGGGAAUUUUUUUUGAGUCAGGGAAAACCGGGAAAAACGUCAGGGAAUUCGCAAAAAGUGGGAGUGUCAGGGAAAUUUUCUUUUUUUUGUGUCAGGGAAAACGUCAGGGAAUUCGCGAAAAGUUGAAUUCGAGGAAUUUUUUCAAAAAGCGACGAGAUCGCAAUUUUUCGCCAAGUGUAACCGCGAUCUCGCAAGAAGUUUCGUGCAAGUUUUGUCAACUUCUUACGUGUAUUUACGAAAUGCGUUGUGUGUGGUUGCAUAGUCAAGCGGCGCUACUUGAUUCCCUUCUGUCUGAUCGCUACCGCGCUCUGGCGGAAGUCGCUGCGCCCGGUUCGGCCAUGCGAUUUUCAUCAAAUUAACCUCAAAGUCUUGCACAUCAAUGUACCCCGGUGAAUUAAUUUUUUUUCUUUAUAAGACAAAUAAGUGAAAGGAUGUCUUGUUUUCAGGGUAUUCAGCAGAAUUAAAUUGAAUGUUGAUCAUAUUUUACCUAUGAGAACAACUCUUGAUUCAUCUCCUCAAUUUUGGAAUGUUAUAUGCAAUCAGUGAAGUUCAAGGCACUUUGAGAGUCCUUUUACUGAAGAUAGUUUUUUACAUGCUCACUGCCGUCAAAUUCAUACUGGACGCCAGAUAUUGUCAAGGGAUGUCACUAUUAAAUGCAUACCUCUAGGAUUUCGCUUUUUUUUCUGCUAUUUCUUGUGACUGGCUAAAUUUUCUGGAUCUCGCAAAUGCCUCAAGAAUUCUGUCGAUUUAAACGAGUUGAUUAUCAUGAAUUUUUUUUUUACAAAAUUGUCGAGCGUCAGAGAAUUUUUGCUCUUUGUCAGGGAAACGUCAGGGAAUUUUUUUUCCCUGAUGUCAGGGAAUUUUUAUUAUUUUGUCAGGGAAAUCAGGGAAAUGUCAGGGAAUUCGCCUUCUGAAAAUCACUAGACGCCCUGCAAAGUAAAGUAACAAACAAGUAAAACAAAAGUAAUAAAUCAGUGAUAUUUCGUGUGCCAAAGAGAAUAAAUAAUCUUUCAAUGUUUUACUGAAUUCCUUAGAUGACAUAAUUUUUUGCUUUCUAAAAGUUUCAAUUAUCUCAUAUUUU